rnacentral:lncRNA from 1 species
CACCCCACGUUCCCAGGCGGGCACAUUGUUAAGAUCAGCGGGCCUUCGUACAAACAUCUUGACUGUGGCUGGUAAUGAAGAUGAGUCUCCUGUCUGUGGGGCGCCUGGUUAGCCACCACUAUGCCCAGUCCACCCCACUCCACCCUGCUACAGCAAGCGGAGGCCAAGAACCGGGAGUAUGCAAGACAUUGCUCUCCAAGCUGAGUGAAAUUCCAGCUGUGGCCCCUGGAAGCCAUGUGGAGAUGUGGGUGCAUUCCUUCAGCUACAGGCACAGAAGCCAGUUCACUUGGCCACUGAAGGUCCUGUUUCCGUGUGAUGUGGAGCCUGAUGAAUAUGUGGCCUCCCCUCUAGGAAUACGCCUGGGCUGCCUUUGCACACACUUACUUCAGCUGGCCUUGAACUCAAAGAUAAUCGCUUCUGUAACAAGUGAAUCACAGCCUCUCCUCCCUGUGCAAACAAGAGAACUAGAUGAGACCAGUUUGAGCGAAAGGUUUGACAGCCUUCAAUUCACCUCACAGAAUAGAAAGGCCUCUCUCAGGAGGGACCCCCACCAGAACCCAGCAACACUCCCAAGGUUGGUUGUGACAAGGCUACGGACAAACAUUAAUCAUGGGAAAGUCGGGAGGGGCAAAUCUCCAUCCUCUUGGAGCAUCCAGGAAGUGUCCAGGUAUUGGGGCGCACACAGGGCAGGGAUCCCACUGAGGGGCUCAUGUUUGAUGCCUGGCACAGAGAGAACAUUGCCAAGGAGCAACAAUGAGGGCAGCCACGUGGCUCCCAGCUAGCUUUAUGUGGUUACAACAUGCAGGGCAAAGAAAGUCUUCAACAUGAAGGCGGAACUGCUCCUUUGGGAUCCUCCACCGACAACUGGCUCUUCGUUGUUUUCUUUCAUCCAUUCAUUCCACACAUCUAUGACGAGCCUGUGUUCUAGGCACUGGGUUAGGCAUGAGGGGUUCAACAAUGGACAGGAAAAGUGUUCGCUGCUUCGUGAAGCCACUCAAGCAGAAGAAUCAGGUUACCUCUGAAGGAAAAAAUAUCAUCUUGAUGUUUGCCACAUAAAUGCCAAAGACAACAAAGCAAUAUGUGUGGAAUUUUGAGGGAAAGUGAUUUUGAUGCAAGAUUCUGUUCCUUACACAAAAUUCUGAUAUUUUGGACAAGCAGCUGUAAAAAAGUAAACCAUUCAUGUACCACCCCAAUUGAAAAAAAGACUCCACAGAAAAUAUUCAAGCCAAGCAAAUAAACUCAAUAAUGUAAAAGAAAUGGCAGUGAAUGAUACAAGCAGUAAAACUUAAUGUUGAGCCUAACUCCUGAUUUUUAAUAUAUUGUGGCAUCAUUGUUGGAUGCCAAUAGGAUGAACAUUUUUCUUUCCUUCCUACUAAGAGAAUCCCAAUUUUGUGUGAUUGACAACAUGCCCUGACCCGAAGGAUGAAGCAAGAAAAUUCCUUGCCCGUUGUUGAUGAUUGGCUUAGGACUGAGCGUGUGACUAAGUUCUGGCCAAUGAAAUGUUAAAGAAAGUCUCCUGUUAGGCUUGGGGAGGAAUUUGUUUCUUGAUAAAGACAGGCAGUGAGGUAGCCUGACCUUUCUUCCUGCCUUUAAGAUGAUUGUCUAAGGAUGAAAUAUCUGGAGUGUGGUAUCCAUCUUGUGACCAUGAGGAGAAGGCCAAGAGAAUCUGAGAGAUGCCCGCAUAGAACUUUAAGAGCUGCUGAACCAACCCUGGAUAUGCCUCCCUUUACCCUCCUUUCCAUAUGGUGUAAUUAAAUGUCCUUAAUGUCUGAGCCACUUUUAGGUAGUCUGAUAUGUGAA